UCCAGCCUGCCCAGUGACCCAGUUCAACGGCCGCGGUAUCCUAACCGUGCGAAGGUAGCGUAAUCACUUGUCUUCUAAAUAAAGACUAGUAUGAAAGGCAUCACGAGAACCAAACUGUCUCCGCUUUCCAAUCAGUGAACCUAAUCUCCCCGUGAAAAAGCGGGGAUCACCUAAUAAGACGAGAAGACCCUAUGGAGCUUUAAGCACAAUAACACCUGUUAACUUAAACAUUCAAAUGUUUUCUACACCAUGAUUAUGUGCUUUCAGUUGGGGUGAUUGCGGAGAAAAACUUAUCCUCCACAGUGAAAGGCCCUACACCUAAACAAUAAGUUACAACUUUAAGUAUCAAUAAACUGACACCAUUGACCCAAUAUAUUGAUUAACGAACCAAGUUACCCUAGGGAUAACAGCGCAAUCCACUUCAAGAGCCCCUAUCGACAAGUGGGCUUACGACCUCGAUGUUGGAUCAGGGUAUCCCAGUGGUGCAGCCGCUACUAAAGGUUCGUUUGUUCAACGAUUAAA
rnacentral:rRNA from 1 species